rnacentral:rRNA from 1 species
UACGUAGGUGGCAAGCGUUGUCCGGAUUUACUGGGCGUAAAGAGCGCGCAGGCGGUCGAUUUAGUCGCGUGUGAAAGCCCCCGGCUCAACUGGGGAGGGUCACGCGAUACUGAUCGACUCGAAGGCAGGAGAGGGUAGUGGAAUUCCCGGUGUAGUGGUGAAAUGCGUAGAUAUCGGGAGGAACACCAGUGGCGAAGGCGACUACCUGGCCUGUUCUUGACGCUGAGGCGCGAAAGCGUGGGAGCGAAGAGGA